rnacentral:misc_RNA from 1 species
GUUUUUGUAUCUUAAUCGCAGACAAAGGUCCAGGCCCGGAAGGGAGCACACCGCCUGUGAACAACUAUCGCUCACGGGGGCGCGGGGCGGAGGCGAAUUUGCGAACCACUGGGCAAUGGAAGAAGCUACGACCCAAGGCGUGCCCGCUA